CAGGGAGACAACAAAAUGUUAAAUAUUAUUAUUUUGUCACCUUAAGUCGAUCGGUAUCUCACGUUUUUAAUUUAUUAAGAAUUUCAUUUCCUAAGUUUUUCUAGGUCACACCCAUUAUUUUUCCUGGGCCAUUAGCUCAGGUGGUUAGAGCGCACCCCUGAUAAGGGUGAGGUCCCUGGUUCAAGUCCAGGAUGGCCCAUAUCUCUAUGUUGGGGGUAUAGCUCAGUUGGUAGAGCGCCUGCUUUGCAAGCAGGAUGUCAGCGGUUCGAGUCCGCUUACCUCCACUGAUUACCACCUCUUCCAUAUCUGGUAGAAAGGAAAUGUUUUGAGUUGUGAUCAAAUCCUGAAAGAAUCUAGCUUCCUAAUGAAAUCAUUAAGAUGCUGGACUCAUUGAAUUAACUUCAUUGUUUUCAGAGAACCUUGACAACUGCAUAGAUUAUUUUUAAAGACAAUAAGCAUCUUUAAUGAUGCAGAUUUAUUAUUUGUGCGAAUGCAUUAAUAGCAAUUCUAUUAAGCUGAUGCUUCAAUUUUUGAAGUUAUU
rnacentral:tRNA from 1 species